GAAGGCCACUUUCUUUUCAUUGACACAUAUUGGAGAAAUGAAUUUCAAGGCUUUCCUCAUUCUAGUUAUGUUCUUGGCUUCUAGUCUUCUGAUCUCGGCUAGGGUUGCACCAGAAGACAUAAAGGACAAGUUUAAAAAAAAUGUGAAUGCGCCGAUGGAUGAAAGCAAAUUUUAUGGACACGACGACGAUCCUAAUGUCGACUAUGGCCCAAGGUGUUCAGAUUAUGAAUGCUGUUAUGGUUGCUGUGCGUUGGUCGCUCGAACCUGUAAAAGGUGUUGCAGUAGUUAGGGUGUUAAAUUUGAAAUCUCAAACACCGAAUUUGGCACCCCAUUUUAAUGUAGUAAUUUUCUUAAAUACCCGUUCAUUUUUACUUUUCCGGUGUUAAAACCCGGAUGAUAUCUUCAAUAUACCGAGUUAUAAAACUCAGAAUGUAUUUUAUUUUAGUAUCUAAGAUUUAAAACUCGGAAUAUACCGAUUUUAAAUCAGGUUUGUAUAAUUUGUUGAUGCUUUAAAAUUUUGAAAUUGUUAACUGAUGCUGGUUGGGGAAUAAAAUAGCAUCCAUGCACAUAAAGCUUCAA